rfam:Gossypium hirsutum cultivar TM-1 chromosome 4, whole genome shotgun sequence
AAACCAUGGUGAGGGCACCAUCUCAAAAAGUCCUUGUAUCUCUUCCAUGCAUCAUAUAAGGUUUCUAAGUCGAUCUGAACGAAUGAAGAAAUAUCAUUCCUUAACUU